UACGGGGGGGGCAAGCGUUGUUCGGAAUUACUGGGCGUAAAGGGCUCGUAGGCGGCCAACUAAGUCGGAUGUGAAAUCCCCAGGCUUAACCUGGGAACUGCAUCCGAUACUGGAUGGCUUGAAUCCGGGAGAGGGAUGCAGAAUUCCAGGUGUAGCGGUGAAAUGCGUAGAUAUCAGGAGGAACACCGGUGGCGAAGGCGGGUCUCUGGGCCGACACUGACGCUGAGGAGCGAAAGCGUGGGGAGCGAACAGG
rnacentral:rRNA from 1 species